CCUACACCACAGGAACCCUAACUCUGAUGCUGCAUCAUUUCCUGAACUCUGGGCGACCCACCUCGAUACCUCCUGCAACCCACCAGUGGGUCACGUCCGACAGUUUGGGAACCACUGGUUUAACAGAGGAAAGUGCUUCUUUCUGGCUCAGAAUAAACCAGAUGUCAGAAAGAAUAACAGCGCACAUCGGUGUUUCCAUUCCUUUAUUUUAAUACAGGCACGGCUGCAAAGCUUUCAGCCUGAAACGAUGGCCAGGUGCAUGUCAUCAGAAACCAUUGAUUGAACAGGGUGGCCAUUUUGCUGUGGAGAAGCAAGUACAGGAUCCUGAACCAAGGAAACAGAGUGUAACACUUGUUCAAGAAAGAGAACUGGAAAUACAGUUGGGAAGAAGAAAAGACUGCUACGCAGUACUAACCAAAGCUAAGUAUUCACUACAACAAGGAAAGUUAGUAAAAAUAUGAUACAACAGAAGAUUCAUUUUGAGCUUGUCUGUUGUUUACAUAUGAUCUUUCAGUGAAGAACGUUGUUGGUACAGUAGUAGUAGUGCCUUAUAAUUCAGUUAUGAUACCAAAGUAUAGUAUGUGUAGUUUAUUGUGAAUAAAAUAUUAAAGAUAUUUAAAAGUCAAAGUAAUACCGGGAUGCUGAAUGGGGUUUCGUUUAUGUCUGUGUCCAGGGUAUCCAGCUGUCUCCCUCCGGUUUGAACAUCAGCCUGGGUCAUAGGGGAAGGGCAGACCGCUGCAUCAUCUGAGACACCCUGAUAAGUGAGGUCCUACUUUGCAGGAGUUAAGUAUCAAUGGCAGGGUCGGAAGACCAAGACCCGAUUGCAGGGAGGGCUGAGAUCGGGGUGUGCGAGGGAACCGCUCUCGGAGAGCGAGCUGGGGAAGAGAGCAGAGUAAUAUGACUGGAUCUCCUUGCUGGUCCUUUCCAGGAGUUAACAUCGUUGGAGUGGAGGGAGAGAGCGGGAGCCCCUUGGAGGCGGAGCGUGGACCCAGAGGGAUUGAGCAGGCAACCAGGACUUAAGGUGUUUUUGGUAUUACAUUCAGAACAAGUGAAGGAGAGUUAACUUUGACCGCAGGAAUCAGGACACUCCAAACUGGAAAGCCAGGUGAUUAUACAGCGGUAUCAUGGAUACAUACUUUCACCUUUCAAGGAAUUGGUUUGGGAUAUUGGAGGACUUAAUAGUUUGGUUUAAUGGGAGAUGUAAUACUUACUUUGCUGCUGAAAAUCUGUGCACUUCAGUUUAGUUGUGCACUUGUUUUAUUUAGGAAUGUAUAGUCAUUUUAGGAUAUGCAUUGAUAGAUGCUGUAUAGUGGUGAUAUAUUUGAUCAUUUUUAUUGCACAUGGUUUUAUUGUUAUUUGCAUGUAUCAUUGUAAUAAAGAGAAAUACUUUUACUUACUGGUCCAUGUGGUUCCUGUGCACUGUUCGGACAGGCCGGUGGUCAGUACGAGAUCCAAACAACCUGUGGGGUAAUAGAGGAAAAAUUGUUAAAAUUUGUAAUACAAUACAUACCUGUGUUAAGUCAAGCAUACCCUGUGAUGUUAGGACAGCUGUGUUUACACUAUACAAAUGAGACGCUUAUAUACAAUGCCCUUU